GUGCUCGCUUCAGCAGCACAUGUACUAAAAUUGGAAUACAGAGAAGAUUAGCGUGGCCUCUGCGCAAGGAUGACACACAAAUUCGUCAACCCUUCCAUAUUUUU